UACGUAGGGGGCUAGCGUUGUCCGGAAUCAUUGGGCGUAAAGCGCGUGUAGGCGGUCCGGUAAGUCCGCUGUGAAAGUCGGGGGCUCAACCCUCGGAUGCCGGUGGAUACUGUCGGACUAGAGUACGGAAGAGGCGAGUGGAAUUCCUGGUGUAGCGGUGAAAUGCGCAGAUAUCAGGAGGAACACCGAUUGCGAAGGCAGCUCGCUGGGACGUUACUGACGCUGAGACGCGAAAGCGUGGGGAGCAAACAGG
rnacentral:rRNA from 1 species